AGCAUAUCAAUAAGCGGAGGAAAAGAAACCAACAGGGAUUGCCCCAGUAACGGCGAGUGAAGCGGCAACAGCUCAAAUUUGAAAUCUGGCCCCCUCGGGGCCCGAGUUGUAAUUUGCAGAGGGAGCUUUUGGCGUCGGUCGUGGUCUAAGUUCCUUGGAACAGGACGUCACAGAGGGUGAGAAUCCCGUACGUGGCCGCCGGCCUUCGCCUUGUAAAGCCCCUUCGACGAGUCGAGUUGUUUGGGAAUGCAGCUCUAAAUGGGAGGUAAAUUCCUUCUAAAGCUAAAUACCCGCCAGAGACCGAUAGCGCACAAGUAGAGUGAUCGAAAGAUGAAAAGCACUUUGGAAAGAGAGUGAAAAAGCACGUGAAAUUGUUGAAAGGGAAGCGCUUGCGGCUAGACGUGCCCGCGGUUGAUCAUCCAGGCUCCGGCCUGGUGCACUCCUCCGCGGGCAGGCCAGCAUCAGUUCGGGCGGUCGGAUAAAGGCCUCUGUCACGUACCACCCCUCGGGGUGGCCUUAUAGGGGAGGCGCAACACGGCCAGCUCGGACUGAGGUUCCGCGCAUCUGCUAGGAUGCUGGCGUAAUAGCAGCAAGCGGCCCGUCUUGAAACACGGACCAAGGAGUCUAACAUCUAUGCGAGUGUUUGGGUGUCAAGCCCGAGCGCGCAAUGAAAGUGAACGGAGGUGGGAACCCUCACGGGUGCACCAUCGACCGAUCCUGAUGUCUUCGGAUGGAUUUGAGUAAGAGCAUAGCUGUUGGGACCCGAAAGAUGGUGAACUAUGCCUGAAUAGGGUGAAGCCAGAGGAAACUCUGGUGGAGGCUCGCAGCGGUUCUGACGUGCAAAUCGAUCGUCAAAUUUGGGCAUAGGGGCGAAAGACUAAUCG
rnacentral:rRNA from 1 species